CCAAACUCACUCACGAGCCCUCAGUUAUUCAGACGAGGCGACUGGUAAAGACAAGACAGACUGAAAAGUAGUGUGGGGCUUCUCUUACCAACAGAAUCCUCCUUCAGGAACCCUUUCCCGUCCUUUCAGCUGGCUUCCCUCAUCUUUCCGAGAUGAUGCGAGGGAAGGACUUUAGAUGAUUAGCAUUCCUCUUGCUCUCUGUUUUCUCCCCGUCGCGCCCUGCUCCUCCAGAUUUCUCCACAGUCUCCGAGGGGAAGCGGGAGCAUCAGUGAAACGCCGCCGCGCGCCCCGCUGCAGGAGGCUGCACGUCAAUCACACAGGUAACCUAGGGAACCGCUGGGCCCGCCUCCCCCCGCAGCCGCCGCUGAUUGGGCGGCAGACGGAGAACCAGAAGUCACAAGCCUCACAGAUCCACAGAUGGGAACCGCGAGCUGUGGUGGGAUCAUGUACGGAGCCAAACAAACAGUAGUGGAUUGCAGUACUUGUGAAGUCUUUCUCUCCUCUCCGCUUCUCUCUCUGACUUCACAGCCUGCCGCUUUAUUUUACAGUUGCUUAGCAACAGACUGGCAUGUGUGAGCGUUGAGUGUGUGUAGCAGAACAAGAGGAGAAAUGUGGGAGAGAAGAAGUCCCAAACACACUCUUCUCUCUCAGCCAGGUGUUGUUACACUACACUUACACAAUGCACAAGAACCUACAUCACCUUCACAACAGAAGGAUCAGAUCCAUGACUACGGUUGCCAGAAAACACAGGAAGUAGCAGAAACUUCUCACCACUCUGAAGCCGAGAUUGGCUCAGGACAAAAAUACCAGCUUUGACACCAGAUGGAGAAGAAAUUGAUGUGUGGAGAGUGUAAGAUGGCGUUUCGAUCAGCUGAGCUGCUGGCGAAACACAAAGCCAAGUUCUGCGUUGGGAGCGAGGUUCACCACCUCCGGGUGCACACGCACAGCUCUCCAGUUGUUCUGAGGAACAACGGUGGAGCCAUCGAACCAAGACAAACAAGAACAGCUGACCUUGUGCAGACAGGAGGUCAGCAGAGGACGACCACAGGGGGGAGGAGCACUGAGGCUGAGCCAGAGUCAAGUAGAGGCCGAAACACAGCCGAUGGAGUCGCUCUGCUCACAGACCAGUUUCAGAAGUUGAGAGUGUCCAUAGAGGAAACCUUGAUCCACACGUCAAAGCGGGCCUCAGACGCUGGGGUGAGUGGGCAGCAGCUGGGUCACAGCGAGAGACUGGAGCGGAUGAGGGACAUGGCAACGCUCCACGAGCGCCAACUGGCCAUGAUACGUGUUCAGCACAAGCAGCUGGAGCAGCAGCGGGACGGUGAGCGAUAGACGAGAACGUGAAAUAGGUCAAUUUAUGGCCCAGGCGGGUUGAAUGUGGCUGAUGUGACCGCGUGCGCUAGAGCUGUCCCAUCAGGCGGGCGUCCGGUCCGAACAGAGCGUCACAAGUCAUCUGGAGGCUCUGCUGAUGGAGCUCAGGGAGCAGGAGGAGAGGAAUGAGGAAACCCUGCAGCAUCUGCGCGAGCACCUCCACGCGUUACCGUCGCAACAGGAUGCAGUUUGUGCUGACCAGACACAGCCACAGAGUAUGAAAAGGCCGCACGAGACAAACGAGCUCAUGUCAUCUGCUGACGGGCCUCUGUCUGCACAGAUAAGAGCUCUGCGACGUGCAUACAUGCAGUCAGGUGCCACAGACCCAGAUAUAGUAGCACAGAUGAUUGACCUGCAGGCAGAGGCCCAAAGUCUGGAGAGACACCAACCAGCAGCUGCUGUGGCCAAGAAAAAGAGUAAGGAAAAGGUUCCAAGCUCAGCGUUAACAUUUCAUAGUUCCAAAAUUAUAUCGACGGGGAACAGAAAAUGA
rnacentral:lncRNA from 1 species